CCCCUCCACCCCCACUACCCCGUUACUGCCCCUUACACAGCCACUCCAACCCCCACCCUGUCACAGCCCCUCAAGCCCCCACACAAUGUCUUUACCACAAUUACCCUAUCACAUUAACCCCCCUCAAUCCUGUCAGACUCACCUUCUCUUGCACUGUCGCACACAGUCCCCAACCCAGUCACACUCAUCCUCUAUCAGUCUGUUCCACUCACACCAUUCACACUGUCACACUCACCCUACCACAUAAGCCCCUCCAAACCUGUCCUCCAGCUGUGCCAAACUCACCCCAAAACCUGUAACACUCUCCCCCCAACCCUGCCGCACUCACCCUUCCACAUUUAUCUAAUCCUGCCACAUUAACCCACUUAAUCUUGUCACACUCACCAAAAAAGCCGCCCCCAAACGCCCAGGCAGAUGCUUUGUUUUCUUCAUGUCCUGGUGGGCUCGAGCUGUUCAUCUGGCAACUUUUGAGGCCCCCCAAGGCUGGCCGAAGUUUCUAUCGCGACGCUUAAUGAAGCUGGGAGCUGGAAUAUGACGUCACUCCGGCACCCGGCAUCACUAAGCGGCGCGUGAGGGAGCUGAGCAAGAAUAUUAGAGCUCCCUCGCCGCCUACUCUGCCUGUCCGCCCCCUGUCUGCACAUGAAGCAGUCCCACUGGACUGCAAGUAAGUAAUCCACUCCAUCUCUCCCAGGGAGGUUGGGUGGAUUUAAAUAAAAAUAAUAAUAAUUUGUGAGUGUUGAGGGAAAUGUAUGUCUGAGUGAAUGUGUGUGUGUCUGUAAGUGUUUAUACCUGUGAGUGAGUUAAUGUGUCUGUAAGUGAAUGUGUGUGUGUGUGUGUGUGUGUGUCUGUCAGUGUGUCAAAUCAUUGGGUGUUUAUGUCAUUGUUUGUCAGUGUAUAUGAGAGUGUGUCUGUCAAUGAGUGUAUGUGUCUGUUAUUACGUGUGUGCGUCUGAGUAAUAGUGUGUGUCUGUCAGUGUGUCAAAUCAGUGAGUGUGUGUGUAUGUCAUUGUCAGUGUAUAUGAGAGUGUGUGUGCCUGUCUGUCAGUGAAAGUAUGUGUUGGUUAAACAGUAUGUGUGCCAAUGACUGUGUAUCUUUUAGUGAGUGUAUGUCUGUGAAUGCAUUAGUAAGAAAGUGUCUGUCAAUCAAAGUACAGCCUUGACAGGAAGGGAUGGGGAAAUUUUAAAUAUGGGGGUGGGGGAGAAUCCAAAAUACACCACUGGUUAUGGUGCUGAUAAGAUUGCUAUCAACAGUGGAGUGCAUGCCCGUCAUCUAUACAAAGUAGCCUUUCUGGCAUCCUAGUGUAAACUUAAUUGAACUUUAUUAUUCUUUCUAGGUUCAGGAUUUCAUAUCUAUGCAGUUUCUACAGUUUCCCUCUUUUUUUUUUUUCUUAUAUAAUACCAGAGAUAUGCCAGGUAGUAAAUUGGACUAAAAAUACUUUGCUAUGCUACCACAAAAAUGGGUAUGGCACUAUUGACUCAACUAUUUUAUGUUUAUUUUUCCAGUACUAGCAGAACAUCAUUCAUCUAUAUAUGUUUAUGUGUGACUAAUAGAAAAAAAAAGCAUUACAUAACUAUUUCAAAUACCAUUACCACUAAAGCCUACUGAAGUGGCUAUGGUGCCAGGAGUGCGCUGGCACCCUUUCCCAUUGCAAAGAGUUUAUACUGUUUUUGAGUGGGAGCUGUAGUGGUUAUGGUGCUGUGAGUGUUGAUUUCUUAGGAAGAUGAUCUCAAACUUUAUGACUAAGACCAUACUCUGCUCAAAAAUAAUACGUGAUGUGAGAAGAACAUUCAUUUUACCAACGAGCUUGUGUCUAGCCUUAGGUGUACUGAUUAGAGCACCCAUUAGAUACAGGGUUAUUCACUAAUGUGAGAAUUCAAGGUGAAUUCAAAUUGAAUUUAAAAUUUAAGGUGAAAAUAGCUAAACUGGAAAAACUCUCUAAAUCAGUUAUGCAUUCAGUUCAUCUACUCUGGUCUUAAAUUAAAAAUUCACUUUCGAUUUCCACAUUAGUAAAUAACCCUGUUAGUGCGUGUCAGCUGCUGAAGCCACGAGGUUACAUAUUAUUUAUUGUGAACCUGUUUAAGUUGCAUUUGCAAUCGGCAGCAGAUAGAAUUAUGACAUUUUCUGUUACCUCCUCCUCCAGUUUUGCAGCCUCUGUAAAUGUGUGUCUGCAUCUGUAAACCCCCAAAUGGUUUUUCUUUUGGCGGCAUUUCACCAUGACAAAUAGAAAGCCACAUGUAAAGCAGUGUGGGAUGUAGCAUUCAAGCCAUUAUAGAAAGGCAGACAUGAGUUUUAAAUGUCAGGCCAAGUUAUCGAAACUCAUUAAUAUCACUGCUAGCCAUUAAUCCCCCCCCAUUAACAAUGUGGGCGAGAUUAGGGGUUAUAUAGUAUGGUUAGGGUUUUGUAAGAUGUAAUGGGCAGUAAUUCAUAUGGAUGUCGGCGGGGGAGGAGAGGUCACCAGCGCCGAGGGAGCCCGGCGCUGGAUUAAGGUAAGUAACUGAAGGGGUUUUAACCCCUUCAGUGCCACGGGAGGGGGACCCUGAGGGUGGGGGCACCCUCAGGGCACUAUAGUGUCAGGAAAACCGAUUUGUUUUCCUGACACUAUAGUGAUCCUUUAAAUUAUGUCCAAUCCCCAGUCAGUCACAUGGGUCCUUACCAAAAAAAAAGUGUGUCCACUCUUCCAGACAUGUAGCAGAGUGGAUGUUGGUAAAAUGGAAUUAACAUGAUGACAUUUCAUUUAUAUCUCACUCUAAGAUUGUCAGGGAUUUUUAUUUACAGUGUGAUGACAGUGAAGCUUUUAAUUACCAGCAAAUUAUGAACACCAAUGAAAAUAAAAAAGAAAACCCCUACAAACUAACAGAAAUGUGUCAGGUGCACCACAUGCAAAUUACGUUCUAGUACUUUAUUCCAGCUUUAUCAUCAACUGGGAAUUCAUUUUCAUACAUGGCGUUUGCUUGCUUCCGUAUUCUGCUAAAAAUCUCACUAACCAGUUCUUAAAGUGUUAUAGAACCUACGCUAAAACAACUGCAUUAUAGUCUUCAAUUCCAUCUGGAAGGCAGUGAUACUAAAGUACAAUUAUAGGUGGAUAUUCAGUAAAGUGAGAAUUCAAAGUUAGCAAUGCUUGCAGUUCGGCUGCUCUGGCCUUCAAAUUUACUGUUUACUUGUAAUUCUCAAUUUAGGAAGUAACCCUGUUUGUCAUCGCUGUAUUUAGUACGAGGCUGACAAGGCAUUUGCUUUGGGUGGCACUUUGAGGGAAGUGUCAAGAAAGGCCUCUCCCAAAACACCCUGGCAGAUGCCUUCUCAGCCUCUUGUCGUGGGGGCCCAAGAGGUGGCCGUCUGUCCACCUUGGGUCCUCCCGAGCAGGGCCGGACUGGGAAGGAAAUUCGGCCCGGGCAUUUUUUAAUUACAGCGGCCCACUAAAAAGGGGGCAGGGCCAGAUAGGGUGUGUUUUGUCAUCACCAAUGACAAGCAUGCCCCAUCACAAAGUGAGCAUGUUGGUUCAAUGCUCUUCCAGGGUAGACCAUGCGCAGAGCUCUGCUGAAGAUCUCUGGCAUGAGAAAAAUACCCUGUAUUUGUUCUGCACAGCGCAAGCAAAUUUAAUAACAUGCUUGCACUGUGUUUGCUUGAAAUUUGUCUCUGGUGUCUCCAUAGUUGGGAUACCAGGAGACAAAAAUGCCAGGAAAGCAUAUUGCACAGUGUGUGUGAGGGUGCUCUGUGUGUGUGUGAGAGGGGUGCAGUGUGUGUGAUGGGUGCUGUGUUUGCAUGAGGGUGCUAUGUGGGUAAGGGUGCAGUGUGUGUGAUGCAUGCAGUGUGGGUGCUGUGUGUGUGAGGGUGCAGUGUAUGCAUGUGAGGAAGCUGUGAAUGUCAGGGGUGCAGUGUGUGUGAGUGAGGGUGCUGUGAGUGUCAGGGGUGCAGUGUGUGUGUGAUGUGCGUGUCGGGUGCAGUGUGUGUGUGUGAGGGUGCUGUGAGUGUUAGGGGUGCAUUGUGUGUGUGCUGUGAGUGUGUGAGGGUGCUGUGAGUGUCAGGGGUGCAGUGUGUGAGGGUGCUGUGAGUGUCAGGGGUGCAGUGUGUGUGUGCUGUGAGUGUCAGGGGUGCAGUGU